rnacentral:rRNA from 1 species
AUACGGAGGAUCCGAGCGUUAUCCGGAUUUAUUGGGUUUAAAGGGAGCGUAGGUGGGAUAUUAAGUCAGCUGUGAAAGUUUGGGGCUCAACCUUAAAAUUGCAGUUGAUACUGGUUUCCUUGAGUACGGUAUAGGUGGGCGGAAUUCGUGGUGUAGCGGUGAAAUGCUUAGAUAUCACGAAGAACUCCGAUCGCGAAGGCAGCUCACCGGGCCGGAACUGACACUGAUGCUCGAAAGUGCGGGUAUCAAACAGGAUUAGAUACCCUGGUAGUCCGCACAGUAAACGAUGAAUACUCGCUGUUUGCGAUACACUGUAAGCGGCCAAGCGAAAGCGUUGAGUAUUCCACCUGGGGAGUACGCCAGCAACGGUGAAACUCAAAGGAAUUGACGGGG